UACGGGGGGGGCAAGCGUUGUUCGGAAUUACUGGGCGUAAAGGGCUCGUAGGCGGCCAACUAAGUCGGAUGUGAAAUCCCCAGGCUUAACCUGGGAACUGCAUCCGAUACUGGAUGGCUUGAAUCCGGGAGAGGGAUGCGGAAUUCCAGGUGUAGCGGUGAAAUGCGUAGAUAUCUGGAGGAACACCGGUGGCGAAGGCGGCAUCCUGGACCGGCAUUGACGCUGAGGAGCGAAAGCCAGGGGAGCGAAACGGG
rnacentral:rRNA from 1 species